AUUGACUUUUAAAAAGAGAAAAAGGUAGGGGUAAAGAGAAAGAAAGAGUUGUUAUUAUCCAAAGAAUCACCUGUUAAUACUUAUGGUUUAUGAAAUGUUAAUUUGUAUUACCUGACUUAAAGCACGUUACUAUGGGACCAAUUCCAUGAUUUUUCAUACUGACACUUAUGGAUAAUCACAUUCAAGGCACAAUCCUAAGCAAGUUUAUACAGGAAAAGGGCCCAUAACCUCCUAUUAUGCCAGCCAGUGUGUGCUGGGUGCUGCAGGCCUUUUCUCUGUCGAAACAUGCAUAUGAUUGCGUUUAGCCACUUGCUUUGCACAGAUCUUUGUCGUUAUAGGUUGUUGUAAUACAAAACAGGACAAAAAUCAGUGCAGGAGAUGCUUUAUUUUGUCAAAAAAAUAUGGAGGUAGGGGUGUGUGUGUUUAAGGGAGAAAGAAGAAAACCAAGAGAACAAUGGAAGGCUCAUACUCAUUUAACCAUAACAUUGGAAAUUCCAUCCCAGAUUUUAAUGAGCUGGGGUACACAGCAGAAACAGUUAAUUUUUGUCUGUAAAUAGAUGUAAGAGAGAAUUAGCUACCUCUAUAUUUCAAACAAAUCCAUUUUACCAUGGGGUUUGUGGUUAUGAUCUAAAAUCUCUAAAGAAAAAGCAAUUUUUCAUGACAGGUUAAAAAACCUCUCAUGCUGCUAUCAAAGAGAUGACAUUUCUGUAAAUUCUACCUAUAUUACAGCAAUCCUAUACAAACCAUGUAUUUGUUUGCACAAAAUCCAUGUUAAGGAACAAAUUGCAUAUACAGAACACAGCCAGACCCCACUCAAUAAAACUAAUGAGAACUGAAGUACACUUUCCCAGACAGACAAAUCUGGCUAAGAACAGUUGUUUCACACAAUGGUAUAAUUCAAACAAUAUGAAAAACUAAAAGGAGAUAAUGGAGAAACUACUAUUUUUCAAGGUCUUUCUGGUGAACACUGGUGCUGAAGGCCAAUGUUUAUUUCACCAUGCAAAUUAAUUACCCCUGAGCAUGCAAGAAAUAGGCAACAGGCCAUAACUGCUGUCAUGUGUAGUCUUGCUCUUAGGUUUUUUCAGUUUUAUCUAUACUUUAGAACCUGGUCCUAUUUCCUGCUAAUAAGCUUGUUGUUGUAUAGGACCACACCGUAUUCGUGUCUCCAUGAACUGGUGCAGUGCUAUUAAUCACUGCAUUACACUGUACCAGAAAAACACAUUCGCUGAAGCCAUCUCUGUGUACCAAAACUGGAUGGAGGAGGAGGAACUGUGAAUCUUUGAGGGUAGGGAGAUGGAAGACAUUCUUUCCAGGAGGGAAGAGCAACUGAUAGCCUUCCAGAUGUUCUGGCCUACAAAUAUGACUGGGAAAUAGAUGCAAAUUUCAUGGCUGAGGGGUCUGUGCAUGGGAAAUAUAAUGCAAAGUUCCCCUCCAUUUACUUCUCAGCCAUGAUAUCUCAAUAUAUUUCUCCUCUUUAUUAUAUUUAUAUCCUGCUUUUUCCCCUUCCCAAACUUGAAAACUCUAUACAGUAUUUUUCAGUCUCGAAAUAUAAGCUUUUUUGGCAAUUUUUAAACUAAGAAAUAUAUGCAAAUUCCAUAGUUGGAGAGUAAAUGGAAAAGAAAAGUAUAUAUUCAUGGGUGGGAAGUAGAUGUGCAGGAAAUCUGCAUUAUAUUUCCUUUCCAUUCACUUUGUAGCCAUGAAACCUGAAAAUAUUUCAUCUCCAUUUACUUCUUAACCAUGAUAUUUACAUAUAUUUCCGACAAAAAAGAACACUUUUUUUCAGACAUUUGCAAACAAUAGGAGGUAAUAUUUCUCCUUUCUGGGAUAGCGAGGAAAUCCAGGAAAGGGUUAAAAAGGUGGCAGGUUGUUUGUAAUUUCUGCAUUUAAAAAAAUAGCAGCAAACUAAAGGAGCAGCAAUCAGAGAGGGGAAGGAAAGAAAAACAGGCUAUAAGCAAUACUGGCUUAAGUACUGCAAUUAUGCAAUACCAGCUGAAAGACCAAGGGGGCAGGAGGGGGAGAACAAUCUCUCAGGUGCACCAGAGCCUGUCCUUUGAACACACAGUAUAUUAUGGGUUAUUUACAGGAUGGCUGAACAGGAUGUGUGAAUGAGGCCAUUGAAUCAAGAGGCUUUGCUGGCUUGGGUUAGCUGCAGUGUGGGGAUCCCUUGAAAGUUGAAGGACCUUCCCAGGGGUGAAGCUGUCCUACCCGGUCCCCUCCUCUCACAGAAAGCAGAUCCUAGAUCCAAGCCGAUGUGAGGUUUGUUCCUACUUUCCUACAGUAAGGAGCAUGCCUUAAGUAUGCAAUGGUGAAACUGACUUUCAAGCAUACACUGGAAAAAGACAGAAAAUUAGUAUAUAUUUUAGGAAACCCAAGGAGUGCACCCUCCAAAUUAAUAAUUUUCUAUCAUAUAGAAAGACUGGGUGGAAGAAAUUUAUUGGCACAUUGCUGAGCAAAACAUCUUGUAACCUUACUCCAACUAUGCUGCAAUCCCAGUCAUAGUUCCUAGAAACUAAAUCCCAAUGGAUUCAGUGGGGUUCACUGCUGGUUAAACAUGAUUAGACUUAUGCGUUUAAUUUUCAAAAACUAAAAUCAAAGACAGGGAAACAACCCUGAGUUAGCUGUCUACUCUCUGUUGGGUCACAUCAAUAUAUUAAAGUAGAGCAUUUUUCUUGUGAACACAAACGCAACAGGAUUUUCCCAGGCCUGAGGGAGAGAGGGAAUGUGCCAUGUUUAGUUCACAUUAAUUGUGAAGAAAUCCAAGAGGAAAUCCAAGGCAACAAAUUCCAUUAUUAGCUGGGAGAUGUUUGAGGAAGUGAUUACUGGCAGCAAUAACAAAGUGAGAAUAAGGUGCUUCUAUAUAGAAUAAGCUGGUACUGUGAUCAUUUUUUCUCAACUGAACCACUUAUGUGUGACCAGCAUUACGAAGAGAAAGCUUAAAAGAUUAAUGUUUUAAGUAGAAGUAAAAUGAAGAAGAGUUAAAAAAAUGCCUGUCCUUAUUCUCUUAAGCUUUUGUUAUUUAUUUUUUUUAAAUUACAAGAUUCUCUAUUUCCUACAGAGCAAAGAGAUUUAUUUACCAUUACUCAUGCUUUUAAGAGCCAGUUCCAUAGCUCGGGAUAUGUUGACUUCAAAAACAGGCAGUGCAAAAUUUCUGUUUAUUAUUUCCUGCAUCUCCAUGUUCUCUAGCAGCAACUGAAGUAUGCCAUUUUCUAGGACUGGUCUUCCAGCCCACAUGACUUUAUUUCAAUUGGCACAGUUAUUGUUAGAAAAAUCCCAACUUCCUAUGUCAGAAAUCUACCACAAAGCAUCUUUGAACACUCAGGGCUGAUGCAUGCAGUUUGUUUCUUUGCAGGCCUUCCAGGCUAGAUAAGCUGUAUUUAAAAUCUAGACAACUUAUAUCACUGAUUAGAGGUAAGGUGCAGCUGCAUCUUAUAACAGUAGUUGCCUCUUGGCACCACACCAAGGAGAUAAACUAUAAUUGAUGCUCUUUAAAGCUCCCCAGGGCUCCAUUGUGCACAGAGAGUAUUCUCCAAGGGUCUUUCCCAUUCUUAUUAGAGCCAGGAAAAGCUCCACAUGUACAGGCAAGGAAGAAGAGCUACCAAUACUGUAAAUAAUAGGGAAGCACCUGCCCACACAGGGUUCCUGCAAUAUGCAUCAGGGUCCCUGCAAGCACACCAGAGCCAUUACACUGCAGUUAAUGACUUCGUAAGCCUGCAAAGUACAGGUUGGCACUAAACUAGACAGUGUGUAGAAAAUCAAGCUGCUUGAAGAAAGUAGACAAGAAAAGGUUUUGUUCAAUUCAGCUUAAGCUCUUGGGGUGGAGAAGAGCAGCAUUUUUCCCGUCUAUCCUUGUUCAUCCCACUCCUUGGCUACUAAUCCCAUGACUCCAGACGUGAUCCUUAAGUGGCUUUGGCUGUCCAGCCUUGAUCGUUAUCUUUAAGAGGCUCCAGCUGUCACGGGCUGCAGCAAAGAAGUGUGUGGGAUUUUACCAUGUGAAAUAAAACUCCAGAAAUUCACAGGUAAAAAUAGGUAGAACUCACUUUUAUUUUGGAUGGGGGAGCAAGGGUAGGCCUUUGCAGUCAUUGUGUUCUGAAGUUUAACACAGGUGCCAGGGGGCACUGAUGAGCAUGCUAGCUUGGCCAGAAUUCUCCGUUUCCGUUCUUUUUGGCCUAGUUUUAGGGUUCUACAUUGUGAAAGAGCUUGCACAAGGCUGGGGGUGGAAGAGAUGCAUCUUGGGUGCUAGUUCCUACUCUUGUGCCUUAUGUAUAGUUAAUCUCAGGAAUGGAACUCCUGAAUAGGGUUGAGGAGGGAGGAAGGCCAAUGAAUUAGCUUACAGGUUGUACAUUGACCACAAUCAAACAAGCCAGCUUGUCUUCAGUAUGGAAAAUCAGCCUUGCUCAUGGCCGAUCAUGAAAUAAAUAAAUAAAGCCCCAAGAGAUAAUUGCACAAUAACCUCCGCAAGCACCAGUGCGAGUCCUUUGGGGUUAGGAAAGGCAGUGAUACAAAACCUCAGGCUUUUGGGGGCUGAACAAUGAGAAGAUUACAUUUCUUCUUACAUGAGAUGAUGCAAGGGAUGCUUCCAAAGUUGCCUUGCCUCAUCCAUGCAAUUUUAUGGGAUGGGGAGACGGACACUGUCUUCUACUUGUAGUCUUUGGAUGCUUUCCCACUACUAAUUCAGCCACAGAAAAUGAGAAAGAGGGAAUAAUUGCAUAAUACCUUCAAUCUGUAGAGGUCCUCUGGAAAUACUUUAAGACUAAGAACUAGCCUAACAUUUUUAAACAAAAAUUGGUAAGGGUAAUGAACAUCAUCAAAUAAACUAUCUAAGUGAACAGGGAGAGAAAUUUGUACGCAUUCUUCAGUCACAUGGUCAAGGCACAUCAAUCGCAGCUCGUCAGAACUCAAAAGUUCAGCUGAUUUGGUAUUUUGAAAGGCUAUGUGAAUUACGCUGGCCAUACAGCACUGUGCUAGCUCUGGGUGAGGUAAUGAGGUGCUGAGUUUAGCAACCUAACUGAAGGAUUCACAUUGUCUGAUAUUUUCUUGCAGUACUGAUUGUAUAUAAGUAUCUUGCAAAUUACUUUACAAUCUAAAGUGUCACUUACAGUUCCCUCUCCAAUCUCAACAAGAAAACUAAAAUUCUGUGGAAAGCACAAAGGUUUCAUUUGCAACAAACAUGAUUUUCCAUAUUUGAUUUUAUCUCAACGAACUUAAAUGAUCUUUUACUUCUCUGUUAAGUAUCUCUUUAGAAUAGUUGCAAAUCUGAUUUUAUGUAAAUAGUUCAUGAUGGAUAAUUUAAAACUGUCAAGCCUGUAGUUUAUUUUUUAAAAUGAUAAAAUCAAGAAAGAAGCAUUUUGGACUGUAUAAACAAAAUCAAAUAUUUAACACAAUAAAACCUUGUUUUCACGCUAUCAAUAUAUGCAAGAAUUGCUGUCUUUUGUUCUCCAGCUAUCCAGCUAAUCUUACUGUCAGAUCAUUGUAUUACACUCUUUUCUGUGUUUGUGUUUCCAUAUUUUUAUGACCUAAUUUGUGCUGAUCGUAUUGAUUUAGAGUAGAAUUAUUGCAUUAUCCUGCUCACUGUGAAUGGCUAAAAAUCACCAUCAUCAUCCUCAUCAUCAUCAUCAUCUCCUCCUCCUCCUCCUCUAUAUUGCUCAAUAGCUGAAGCUUUCUCAGUGAUUUCCACUAGCUCUUAAAAACAGUAGAAUGAAAUGCAAUAAAAUCAUAUUAACAAUAAAAAAAUUCUAAAAAGAACAGAUUAAAAAAAAAAAAAACCCAAAUGGCCUUGUAAGAAUAUCUAGGUUGGAUAAUCCACUCAAGCCCUUGAAUAUCUGGGUGUAUUUUUUAAAACUUUCACCAUUACUGGCCACCUUAACUUGGCACCUAAAGAUGGCAGGGUUGGUGCCAGGCGGGGCUCAGUGAGAUCAUUCCAUAUAUGGGGGAGAGGGCACCACGGAGAGCCUGCUCACCAUCUGAGUCUUUGUCAAAGCCCUGGCAGACAAUGCAAGUAGGCCAGAACUACUCUCGUAUACUCAGGCUUCUCAGCCCCAGUUUCUAAACUGGUUUCUGUAUUCUGUAUGAGUUGCAGUUUCUGAGCAUCUUUCAAGGGCAGCCCCAUGUUCUUUGCAUUGCAAUAAUCAAAUUUAUAGAUUACCAGAGGCUACUUUUUUUAACCAGGGUAUCCCAGAGAGGGGUAUAAGCUGGGCUACCAACCAAAGCUCGUGGAAGACACUCCAUGCCAGUGAGGCCACCUAACCAUCAAGUGACAAACAGGUAUCAGGGAGAACCCCAAGCUAUGAACCUGCUCCUUCAGGGGGAGCACAACUCCAUCCAGAACAGGUAGAACAUCUGGACGGAUGACCCACUUGCUAACAGCCUUGCCAGGAUGGAUGUUCAAUUAGUUAGCCCUCACCCAGUCCAUUGUCAUAGUAAGGCGCUGGUUUAGCAUAUCCACAGCCUCAGCUGAUGAGGAUAAAAGGGAGAAAUACAGCUGUGUAUCAUCAACAUACGUAUGGCACCACACUUCAAACCUCCAGAUAUCCCCAUUCAUAGAAAAGUAGGGUCCAAGAACUACAUCAGGUCUAACCCCCUACAAGAAGGCCACCAAGUCACACCAUCCCACUCAGACAACUGUCCAGUUUCACCUUAAACGUCUCUAGUGUGGGAGAGUCCACUGGUUUCACUGUCAUAUUGCUCUGGCAGUUAGAAAUCUUUUCCUGGUGUCUGGCAUGAAUCUCAUGCACUGCAGUUUGUUCUCUAUCCUGCAGCUGUAAGCUGGACUAUCCUGCAUUUUUGGGUAUACUGUUAUUAGACCCUACUUGAGGCUUUCUCUCUGCUGUGGUACAUAACUCAUUGCCAGUUGACACUAUGCCCUAAUAUACAUCUCUCUCCCUUCUGUGAUUUAGUUUAAACCCGCCUAAGGAACUUCUUAAUGUUGUAGCCAAGCUCAUCCUUUGAGAAGUGCAACCCACCAUUUGCCAGAAGUCCUUUCUUCAGGAAGUUUAGCUUGUGGUCCCAGAAACCAAAAUUCUCUCUCUGGAACCACUGUUAUAACCAGGUAUUCACUUCGAGUAUUUUUCUUUCCCUAUUAUUUCCUCUUCCCCUAACUGGCAGGAUUGGAGAGAAGACUAUCUUGGACCCACUGUUCUUUAUUUUCCUUCUUAGAACUUUGAAGUCUGAUGUUAUUUCCUCAAUAUUUCCCUUGGCUGUGUCAUUUAUUCCCACAUGGAUGAGAAAGAAGAGAUACUCAUCAGAGGGGUUCAUCAACUGCAUCCUCUUCUGGUCAGGGACAGCUUGGUCAAACUGAUACAGGUGCUCGUAACCUCAAGACUGGAUUGAUGCAUUAUGUGGUUCUGCCCUUAAAGCUGCUCUGGAAGGAGGAGUUAGUACAGCAGCUUGGCUGUUUUCAGGAGGUGCCCUUUUCAGCAUGCAACUUCCUUUCCUGAAGGAACUGCACUGGCAACCAAUUCACUAACAACUUGGGAACAGGAUACUUGAAAGAAUAUUUUCUAACUAACCUUCUCAUUCAUAGAGGUCCCUGGAGGACCACAUUCCAACUGGAGGCUACUAACAGAUGGUCCUUUAAUGUGGCCCCAGUCCUUUGAAGUCCCUGCCUUGGAUGGUCAGGCAGGCACCAAAACUGUGCUGUGCAUCCCACAAUCUUAUUCUGAGAAGUCUUUUCUGGCUAGCCAGGCACAGUCUUAAUGUUAUUUUGUUUUUAAAAAUUUAAUGCAUUGUUUAUAUUCUUUUUAUUUCUUUAAACCUUAUACUGUUUACUACCCCAGAAUAUGUCUGGAUAUGGAGUGAUACAGAAUUACUGUAAAUAACUAAAUAUAGAAAUGAAAAUUCAUAAAAAAUAAUGUAGGCUGUGUCACUAGCCAUGGACAAUGCAAAAACAUAAGCAGAUAAGGGAUUCUUCCAAUAAUAAUAUUACACUACUUGUCUUGCACUAUUAAGCAGCUACAUCUUAGACCUUCUUCCUAUAAUUAGUAUGUAUUUCCACCAUUAAAAACCCCAAACUAUUAAAUAGGUUUUCCUUUUACUGGAACCCUUGUACCCUCCCAGUAAGUUUCUGAGCUAUCUAGUGUUCCACAAAUGUCUCCUGCUGUUGAUCCUAGGCAUAUUCCAUGUUAGAGGUGGGGUAACUUUUCCCCUUUUAUCUAUCCAGGUGCAAACUUUUUCACAAUGGUAUUUGGAGGUCUUCUCAGCUGAUAGUCUAACUGUUUAAUGAAACAUUGCUGCCAUUUAUAUCCAUGCUAAUAUAAAGUAGGUAUAAUCAUUGAGUCAGAGUUAGACCCUAACUACAUGUUUAUUACAUUUUGGUCUAGAAAGAAGCAUUUUGCUUAAUGAGGAGUAUUUCCUUAUACUGGUGGUGCACUGAAGUCAUUUGCUGACCAUUGGUAAUCAAAGUCUCAAAAUAACAUUCCAUGAGAAUAUAACAACAAAACAAAAGAAGAACAAAACAAGAUGCUAUGCCGACACUAUACCAGUUUAGUACUAAAUGCUUAGUUUAGGAGCAGUGGGCUACUGUAGCUAAAACUGAAACUAAAAACCAAAACUCUUAUCUUCUGGAUGAUUUUUCUUUUGAAACAGUGAAUCAGAAAUUCCUGAGAGGCAAAACGGAACCUGAAAAACUCAUAUAUUCUACUUUGUAACUAAAAAGGCACACAGGAAUUCUUAUGAGGGAGAAGAAUUCUGUGAAUUACACCACCUGCGCACGGAUGUAUGUGGAAAUCUCAUCAUAUCCUAAGUGCAUCGCCACUCAGCCAUCUUGCAAAGUGUAUGACCCAGCCUCUGUUUUUCAGCUGCAUGAACACCUACAGGCAUAUAUGCAGCUGCUUCAGCUGAAGCAAGAGCACAGGCAGAAUCAAGACUCUAGCACAAGGAACAGAGCAAUCCAGGAAGCUCCCCCAGGGAUCUGCCCUUUUGCUAUGGUGCUGUGGAAAAAACUAUGGCAGCAGCUUCCCAAGAUUGCAACCACGACUUCAGGGAGGUGAAAGAGGGGCAUUCCAGGGACAGGGAGAGAAUAGAAGAAGCUGGGAUUUAAAGGAUUCAGUGACCCUCUCCUCCACCCCAGUCCUGCCCCCAGCAGUAUGAGCUUUCCAGAUGAGCUCAAAAGCCUGUCUUGAAGAAGUAACAAUGAGGAGGAAGAGAGAAGUGAAAACUAUCACUAGGAUAUCUGUGCUUUUGUAUCCUAAGGUAGAAUGACUGCUCCCUCAGAAUGCUUUUGCAUCUUAAGUCGCGAAGUCGUGUCCGACCCAUCGCGACCCCAUGGGCAACAUUCCUCCAGGCCUUCCUUCCUGUCCUCCACCAUCUCCCGGAGUCCACCCAAGCUCACACCAACUUGUCUACAACUGCAUAAAAGAAGGCGGAAAUGUAUAUAUAUCAUUUGAGUCACUUGAAUGACUCAAUCUGAAGUGCACCCUUCAUUCGUAUUUUAGAAUCAAAUGAUGCUGUUGUCACUCAUCAUCAUCACACAGAUCCCUUGUGGUGUUUGCCCCCACCAAACAAGUAUAACUUGAGAGGCAAUGAAGUCAUAAAAAGCCACUCCUAAAUACCUUUAAUAUCUGGUUCAUAAUAUAUUUUCCUUAUUCACGUAGCUUUUAUGAAACUUUGAAAUCCAUGUUUAUAUUACUGUCAGCUUUAUCUUAAACAUUUUUUGAACUUGCAAGUAAGUUCUAUUUAGUUUAAUCAGGCUUAUUUCAGAUAAAGCACACUUAGGAUUUCAGUUGAAGGCUGAGGGACUUCCUUUCUUUCUUCAACAAAAACUGUAAAAUACAAUUUCAAUACUACUAGAGCAUGUGGCAUAGUUUGGAAACUAUAAAAGGGGAAAGGAGUGAGAUUAUGCUUUGUCCUAAGCUCAAACAUGCAAUCUAUGAUACAAAUUCAGAAAAAAAAAUGUGGCCAAACAAACAAAAGACAAUAAGAAGCUUAUUUGGUGGGUACGAAGCACUGGGCUUCUUUUCAAGUAAAUCACUGACUGGAUGCCACUUACCAUAAAAUUUUCAGGAUUAGUGAUUAAGUUAGAGCACAAUACUGUUCAUGUUUAGACAUGCAGUCCCCAAAAUAUCCCAGCUAAUUCCAGCAUUAACUAUUACCUAUUUAACUGUUGGUUUGUCCCAUACUUUUAACCACAUGGUGAGAGAAUCUGAUUUAUCCAUAUACUUUAGAUAACAACUUUGCAAAGCAGCAGAGAGUAUAUCCAAUGGUCAGGGAUUACAGGAGUUAUAAUGCCACCUGGAGAGCCAUAGGUUGCAAACCCCUACUAAAGUGCGAGGACAGGUUUGUGGAACUUCCGGUUCUUUGAGUGAAAUGAAGAUGGCAACUCCAGAGAAAAGGACUACCAAGUUCUUUCUCCACAGAAAGAACUAUGUAAAUUGGUUCGGGUUCUUCACAAGAGGAAAGAUGGUGAGAUAUAAAUGCAAUGUAAGAAUGGUGUGGCAGUAAUCUUUUCCCGCCAGUGCUAACAGACUGACACACUGAUGCCACUGUAGCUUGACACACAUGUGACCCAACUCAGCAGUAAUCUUCUGCAAAUGGAACUCCCAUAUAACGAGCAAUAACACACAUUUCACUGCUCCACAGCUAGAACCUCAGCACUGGUAAGAGGACUUCUGCUUCUAUCCUGCAUGCACACUAUAACCCUACACAGCCUUUAGGCAGGCUGUUCUCGUACAUAAGGAAAACCUCUAAAGCAUCAAAACAGGCAGAGUCAGUGUGAAGAGUCACCCACUUUUGAUAUCUUUUCUGUCCUCUCGAUAGUUACUAAUGGAAGCAAUUCUGAAAGAUAUAUGAAGGGCUUCAACUCUCUAUCAGAAACAAUUUUCAUUUUCCAGUCAAUGCAUAUCUUAUUUCUUCCACCAUUAAUUCUACAGUGUGGUCUCAAUUGUAUCCGUAAAAAAAAUGGGAAAGAGCCCAUCCUGACCCAAAUGUCUCUGAAUUAAUAAAUGUUCUUUAUCAAAGUAUUAUACAGAUUAAUGCACCACAACUUGCACAAUGAUUAAAAUGACCAUUUGUUAUGGGAAGCAGCAGCACCACAGACCUGAAGAACUUAAUUACAAGGCAGUUCAAUGUCAUCUGCAGAAUUCAGAUUGCAAUUUGUUAAUGUUGCUGCAUUUGACUGUAUAAAAUGGCCUGGAGACAGGCAAAUGUCAUUUGCUAUUAUUGAAUUUUACAAGUGUUUAACUAUAUUUGAUAUAGACUAGGAGCCAGUACGACUCCAAGUCCUUUAAAAAGGAAAAAAUACAUUAAAGCAAGUGGGCCCCACAUGCUGAAAACAGAAGUGAAAUAAUGCAGUUAGUUAACGGCUUAAUAGAUGUAUGUCAGUUAAUAUAAAAUAAAUGACAAGCAAUAUGUGGCAUGAUUCAAAGAAUCCAGAUGCAGAGGUUCCCAUAGGGCUUGAGAAACCCUUUCCUUCUACUUUCCCCACAUGCCAGAACAUUAGAGAGUUACAAUUAACUUGGGAAUAUCACUUAGAAAAGAAGUUGUGAAUGUGGGUAUGUGGCAUAUGCACAGAUCGCCCACGCUCCAUGAUAGGACUUGGUGCGCUGAGGAAACGGUGAUGGCUGGCUUCUAUUCAGCUCUGUGGAUAUCUGUGCAGACAUCACGUCUGAAGUGGGACUAGACUGCAUUUUUGUUAGGGUAAGUCAGAAAAGUUUCCGGGGCCAGGUAAAAAACAUUUUAUUUACCCAUCAUUUUAAAAAUUACAUUAAAAAUUUUAAUAAGAAAGUAACAACAUUUUACUGUCACAUUUUCUGUCUUUUCCUCUUUUUAUUUGGAACAAUGUGUUAUGAUUGAAUGUAAAUAAAACAAAAAUAAAAUCAUAAUGUUUAUUAUUGCA